CACGCGGUGGUGGCGCGUAGGUAGGUGGUGCUAAUCGAGCUCUCGUCAGCAGCGGUCCAAGCCGUCUCGGGCAGGUAGCUGAAAGGAUUAGCAAACUGCGAUUUAAGUAAAUAACAAGACACCUGACAAUGGCAAGCGAGGGCUUCUGCCUGGGGGAGCACACCCUGAAAGUGCCACUGGAGCUGCACCGGCUGAACCGGCAGCGACUC
rnacentral:lncRNA from 1 species